rnacentral:lncRNA from 1 species
AUAUUUUUUACUACAUGUAGUUUUCUAAUUUAUAAACUUUGUCUUUAUUUUCUUGUCAGAGGCUUGAAUACCAAAAUAUGCAGAAGCAUAGACAUGGGACAUCCACGUUCCUUAUUAAGCAGAAUUCAGCUUUGAAGAUACUCUAGAGCCUGUGGGUUCAGAUCAGAUGUGAGAGACUUGGAAUCUACAUCUUCAACUGAAUGGGUAAAAUCAAAGAGCUUAUGAAAUAUGUGAGAAAUCCUACUGCAGUUUGUUCCAGACAGACAGAUGCCUAUUGGAUGGAUCAGAGUUUUGAUGCCUAGCAAAAGUGAAUGGCAGUGGAUGUUUUACUCUCAACAGAU